GAUGAACGCUGGCGGCGUGCCUAAUACAUGCAAGUCGAGCGAACAGACGAGGAGCUUGCUCCUCUGACGUUAGCGGCGGACGGGUGAGUAACACGUGGAUAACCUACCUAUAAGACUGGGAUAACUUUGGGAAACCGGAGCUAAUACCGGAUAAUAUAUUGAACCGCAUGGUUCAAUAGUGAAAGACGGUUUUGCUGUCACUUAUAGAUGGAUCCGCGCCGCAUUAGCUAGUUGGUAAGGUAACGGCUUACCAAGGCGACGAUGCGUAGCCGACCUGAGAGGGUGAUCGGCCACACUGGAACUGAGACACGGUCCAGACUCCUACGGGAGGCAGCAGUAGGGAAUCUUCCGCAAUGGGCGAAAGCCUGACGGAGCAACGCCGCGUGAGUGAUGAAGGUCUUCGGAUCGUAAAACUCUGUUAUUAGGGAAGAACAAAUGUGUAAGUAACUAUGCACGUCUUGACGGUACCUAAUCAGAAAGCCACGGCUAACUAC
rnacentral:rRNA from 1 species